rnacentral:lncRNA from 1 species
CCUCCUGGGUUCAAGAGAUUCUCCUUCCUCAGCCUCUGAAGUAACUGGGACUACAGCUUGCUGCAGCUUCCUGGACUCAAGCAAUCCUCCGGCCUCAGCCUCCUGAGUAGCUGGGACUACAGACAUGCACCACCACACUCGGCUAAUUUUUUUGUAUUUUUUUGUAGAAAUGGGGUCUCACCAUGUUGCCCAGGCUGGUCUGGAACUCCUGGGCUCAAGUGAUGAUCCUGCCUUGGCCUCCCAAAAUGCUGGGAUUACAGGCGUGAGCCACCGCGCCCGGCCGGCCACUAUUUAUUGAUCCCUCGAUAUGUGCCAAAUGCUGCUCUAAGAGCUUUGCAUAUAUUAAGCUACUAAAUCUACCAACCAUGCCACACAAUGUCAACAGCUCCGUGUUAGAGAUGGGAGAACUGAGGCACAGAGAGGGCAAGCCUCUUGCCUAAGAGCACAGCACGUGAUUUUUGUAAGUGACAAACAGAAUUUAACCUACAUAGUCAGGCUCCAGAGUUUAGUUUGUAAUAAUUGCAAUACACUGUCUCCUACUGAAUUUGCUGAUAGAGCUACUAUCAGCUAGUAGCUACUAUCAGAUAGAGCUACUAAGAGCUAGUAAAUUAAGGAAAUCAAAGUUUUAAUUAAUAGAUAACACCAGGUAAAAGGAGGAACAUAGAAAAAUGACUAAAUAUGAGAGCAGGGGAAGGGUUCCCAAAUUGGGCAAUAUGCUUUCUAUACCUGUUUCCCCACUUGUGAAAUAAACUACUCCACCUAGCAAACUCACACUUAGGCACCUCACUGAGAAAAAAGUAUUUCACGUGCAUACAUGAUUUAAAAAGUUAAGGGCCAGGUGUGGUGCCUCAUGCCUCUAAUCACAGUACUUGGGGGGCAGAGGCAGGAGGACCGUUUGAAUCCAGGAGUUGAAGACCAUCCUGGGCAAUAUAACAAGACGCAGUCGAAGAGAAGAGGAAGAGAAGAGAAGAGAAGGAAAGAAAUUCUGGAAGGAAGGAAGAAAGAAAAAAAAGAAGAAAAAGAAGGAAGAAAGAAAGGAAAGAAAGAAAGAAAAGAAAAGAAAGAAGAAAAAGAAGGAAGAAAGGAAAGAAAGAAAAGAAAAGAAAGAAGAAAAGAACAGAACAGCAGGUUCUUGCCUUCUCUAGAAUCCCAAGCCCUCUAUGGGAAGUAAACACUCCGACCCCUUCUGUUUCUCCUGUUAUUAUCUCUGUAUUCCCAAAUGAUAAGCUAUCACGCUUUCUGAUUUAUCAGUAUCAUAUAUUAUCUUUUGAUUUGCUGGCCUGAUAGGUAAGGACUUAGCUCUCCAAAACUCUCUCCCACAUUUCUCCUUUGCCCCACAAAAUUGUACCGGAAUUCUCUAUUAAAUCACUCUAAAUUUCUAGGACAAUGCAAAUUUUGCUCACUGCUGAACUAAGAAGCCCACUAAACCACAAUUCCUUUCUUUGUUCUUGGAAUUAGUAAUCGCCUUUUUUUUCUUAUCCUGGUUUUCCAUCAAUUUGUCAUUAUUUUUCCCCUAAUGUCCAACAUCUUUGUCUAUCGCUGCAUACAUUUAAACAUACCCAUUCCACUUUCUUCCUCAUGGUCUCCUUCCUAACCCCAUGCUGUCAUCGGGACUGGGUGCUCUCUAAGGAUGCGUUGUGCCUUGCAUGCUGGAGUCCCAUUUCCCAUGUGGCUGUUAGCACGUGAAGAGAUGGUAGUGAUGUUCACCAUGAUAAUGCUGCUGGUUUAUUGUGGAAGAUCUCAGCAGAAGUCACUGUACGUCAUUUUGUUAUCUCUCUCCUUUUUUUAAAAAAAAUGUCUGUACCCAUCCAUCCACUAACUGUAUGUCAUUUAUUGAAAGUGUAUUCCAUAUGCAUAAAUUGAGUUCACAUAUGUAAUCAGAUAGAAUUCAGAAACAGGGAUUUCAGAAACCUAGGUCCUAGGUUGUGCAAUUGCUACUAUUCAAGUAUCCUUUUCUGGAUCUCAAUUCAAAUAACCCAACUCUAAAGGAUACAUUUAUGGGACAGUUGGAGGAGUUUAAGCAGAAUAUUUGGUAUAAAAUUGCUACAAAAUUAUUAGCGUUUCAGGUAUGAUAUAGUAUUGUAGUUAUAUGUAAAAUUUUUCUUAACUUUUGGAGAUAGUUACUGGAAGAUUUCUAUAUCAAGUGAUGUCUGUGAUUUGCUUCAAAAUAAUCCUUUGUGGGGGUGAGGGAGCAAGUUGAAAUAGGGUAGGCUGAGCAUCUCAAAACUGAAAAUCGAAAAUCUGAAAAGCUCCAAAAUUCAAAACGUUUUUGUUUUGAGACAGAGUCCACUCUGUCGCCCAGGCUGGAGUGCAGUGGCACAAUCUCAGCUCACUGCAACCUCUGCCUCCCAGGUUCAAGUGAUUCUCCUUCCUCAGCCUCCCAAGUAGCUGGGAUUACAGGCACCUGCCACCACGCCUGGCUAAUUUUUGUAUUUUUAGUAGAGACGGGGUUUUGCCAUGUUGGCCAGGCUGGUCUUGAACUCCUGACUUCAGGUGAUCCGCUUGCCUCGGCCUCCCAAAGUGCUGGGAUUACAGCCAUGAGCCACCAUGCCUGGCCCAAAAUGUUUUGAGUGCUAACCGGACACUUAAAGGAAAUGCUUGUUUUGCAGCACUCAGAUUAGAGAGUUUUGGAGUUGGAAUGCUCAACCUGUAAACAUAAAGCAAAUAUUCCAAAAUGUGAAAUCUGAAACACUUCUUGUCCUAAGCAUUUUGGAUAAAGGAUUCU